rfam:Alligator sinensis unplaced genomic scaffold scaffold907_1, whole genome shotgun sequence
UGGUUCAGUAGUAGAACUCCUGUCUGCCACACAGGAGACCUGGAUUCAAUUCUCGG